rnacentral:misc_RNA from 1 species
ACAAAAACUGGUCUGGCGGUCGAAGUGUGAAAAGAAAGCUAGAUCAUCUUGAACUAUCAACUUAUACAGAUGAUAAAUUGUUGGAAAGAGAUAGACCCCAUUAUGGGGGAAGGCUCACUGUUCAGGAUAUGGAGAACAUUUCUUUUCAUGAAUCAGAACAAUGGAUCGAUAAGUAUAUUUCCUAUUCAGAUGAUGAGAAUCCCAGUCAACGUAUUCGGAAAAUAGAUCAGCUGCCGAA